GGGGAAUAUUGCACAAUGGGCGAAAGCCUGAUGCAGCGACGCCGCGUGAGCGAAGAAGUAUUUCGGUAUGUAAAGCUCUAUCAGCAGGGAAGAUAAUGACGGUACCUGACUAAGAAGCCCCGGCUAACUACGUGCCAGCAGCCGCGGUAAUACGUAGGGGGCAAGCGUUAUCCGGAUUUACUGGGUGUAAAGGGAGCGUAGACGGACUGGCAAGUCUGAUGUGAAAGGCGGGGGCUCAACCCCUGGACUGCAUUGGAAACUGUUAGUCUUGAGUGCCGGAGAGGUAAGCGGAAUUCCUAGUGUAGCGGUGAAAUGCGUAGAUAUUAGGAGGAACACCAGUGGCGAAGGCGGCUUACUGGACGGUAACUGACGUUGAGGCUCGAAAGCGUGGGGAGCAAACAGGAUUAGAUACCCUGGUAGUCCACACCGUAAACGAUGAUUACUAGGUGUUGGAGGAUUGACCCCUUCAGUGCCGCAGUUAACACAAUAAGUAAUCCACCUGGGGAGUACGACCGCAAGGUUGAAACUCAAAGGAAUUGACGGGGGCCCGCACAAGCAGUGGAGUAUGUGGUUUAAUUCGACGCAACGCGAAGAACCUUACCAAGUCUUGACAUCCCUCUGACCGAUCCGUAAUGGGAUCUUUCCUUCGGGACAGGGGAGACAGGUGGUGCAUGGUUGUCGUCAGCUCGUGUCGUGAGAUGUUGGGUUAAGUCCCGCAACGAGCGCAACCCCUAUCCCCAGUAGCCAGCGGUUUGGCCGGGCACUCUGAGGAGACUGCCAGGGAUAACCUGGAGGAAGGCGGGGAUGACGUCAAAUCAUCAUGCCCCUUAUGAUUUGGGCUACACACGUGCUACAAUGGCGUAAACAAAGGGAAGCGAGCCUGCGAAGGUAAGCAAAUCCCAAAAAUAACGUCCCAGUUCGGACUGCAGUCUGCAACUCGACUGCACGAAGCUGGAAUCGCUAGUAAUCGCGGAUCAGAAUGCCGCGGUGAAUACGUUCCCG
rnacentral:rRNA from 1 species